GACAGAAUUACUUGGUAAAUUAUUUUGGAAAACUCUCUCUCUCCUAUACUAAGGCUUUUGAGUAUAUUUCUACCACUAAAUUCUUGCAAUCCACACAGGUUUUCUAGUUAAGCAGUCUGGUUUGGAAAGGUUAAGAUUGGGAAAGGGAAUUAUCAUAGACAGGGUUGAGAAACUUUGGGCUAUUAAUGCUUUAAAACAAGCAUUAUAUCACUACAAUUUUUUUUUUUUUUUUAAAAUAUCACGACAGAAUUUUAAGCAAACGAUUUCAUGUUGGGAUUACUUGCCAGGGAAGUGAAUGUCUGGAAAUCUACCACUGAGCUGCUGAGAUGCUGCCAAAUAAAAUGUUUAUUUUACAGGGAUGUGUUCGAUUUAAUGCCAGUGUAUAUUGCCAUAAUAAAAAGGAUUGCUUGGCCACUCUGCCCUAACAAUAGGUAAAAAGCUGAACGCAUUGGAAGAGUAACAACUCUUCUUGCAUCUGUGAGAGAGGAGAAGACACGGGGCCAGAUCGGAAAGGCAGACAGGCGAUUACAAAGAGUCAUGGCUUAAGACUCCAGGGCAUAGACUCCUAAGUAGAAGCUGCUGUGGGAAAGAGUCAGGGUUAGGGAAACUGGAACUGUAAGUGAUGAGCUACUGAAGAUGCAAUGUGGACAAGUCACAGGGGGACCCCACAAUUUUAUGAGUUUUACCUCCAUGAGUUCGACCAGGUUCCUAGAGUAAAUAUCAGAGAAAAAUCCCCUUGUGCUUUCAGUAAGAGGAGGGAAAAAGGAAUCAUUUUGGAAUCCCCCAGAGCACUCCCUUCUUAACACAAAGAAACUAGUUAACAAGAACCUAACCUGCUGGGGUGUUAUCAGAGCUUAAACUGACCUGGGGGAAGGGAAGUCCCCAACUCAGCUCACUCUAGCCAUCUCAUCCCAUUGUCCCACCUAAAGGGAGAGGAAACAACAGAGAAACACUUGUGAAGCUCCUAGUCCAAAGGCGUAGGCUCACUAAAAGACCAAGACCUAACCGCAGGACUUCUAGAACCCUCCCCCUACUCCCACACCUUACUGCUACAUUACUAAAGUCCUACCUAUUGCAGUUCCUUUUACCUGGUACACCAUGUCCUGCUAUAAAGAAAAAAUUCAAGGCAUCCUAAAAGGCAAAAAACAUCACUGGAAGAGGCAGAACAAACAUCAUAAUCAGAUGUGGGCAGGGAUGUUGGAAUUAUCAUUCACAGAAUAUUUUGAAAAACCAGUUACUACACUAAGGGCUCUAAUGCAUGCGAGAACAGGUGGGCCAUGUAAGUGGAGAGAUGGAAAUCCUAAGAAUCAAAAAGACGUACUGGAGGUCAAAAACAUCGCAGGAGAAAUGAAGAAUGACUUCAAUGACCUUAGUAGUAGACACAAGGAAAGAAGAACCUCAAGCUUGAGGAUGUAUCAAUAAAAACUUUAAAAAGUGAAAAGAAAAAAGAAUAGUGACUCAAAAAUAUCAGAAAAAAAAAUCAGAACAAGGACAGUGGAGCAACUACAAAAGGUAUAACCUACACAUAAUGGGAAUAUCAGAAGGAGAAGAAAGAAGGGAACAGAAAAAAUACUUGAAACUGAUGACUGAGAAUUUCCCCUAAAUAAUGUCAGACACCGAACCACAGAUUCAGGGAAAUUAGGGAAUACCAAGCAGGCUAAGUCCCCAAAAAACUAUCCCUAGGCAUAUAAUUUUCAAACUACAGAAAAUAAAAAAUAAUGAAAAAAAUCCAGGAAGAAACCGGAGGUAAAAAAACACUUCACUCAUAGAGGAACAAAAAUAAGAAUUACAUACAACGUCUCCUCAGAAACCAUGCAAGCAAGAAGAGAGUUGAGUGAAAUAUUUAGUGUUCAGAGAGAUCCCCCACCAACAUAGAUGUCUUUAUCCUAAGAAAUUAGGCUUCAAAUAAAUGGAAGAGAAAUAAAGUCUUUCGCAGACAAAAAUCAAAGGAACUUGUUUUCAGUAGAUCUGCAUUGCAGGAAAUGUUUUAAACAAGCUCUAUAAAGAGAAGGAAAAUGAGAUAGGUCAGAAACUGGGGUCUAUUCUAUAUAAAAGGAAGAGCACUGAAGAAAAAAUAAAGUAAAAAUAUAACAUUUAUUUUUCUUAUUCUUAACUGAAAAUAGAUACAGUUCAAAAUUAUAGCAACAAUGUAUUUGAUUAUGUAUGCUUAUGUAUGGGUCUUAAGUAUGUAUAUAUAUGUAUGUUUAUGUUUGCCUAUAUAAAGAUGAAAUGAAUGACAGCAAUGAUAUAUGGGAUAGGAGGGAGAAAUUUGGAUUAUUUUAUUAUUAUAAGGUACUCACCUGUGAAGUGGUAGUAUUAUUUGAAAGUGGACUUGGGUUAGUUGUAAAUGUAUAUUGCAUACUCUAGGCAACCACUAAGAAGAAUUUUUUUAAAAAGAAGCAUAAUGUGUAUGCUAUCAAAGGACAGAACAUGGAAUCAUAUGAAAUGCUCACCAAAAACCACAAACGAUGGGAAAAGAGUGGAAGACAAAAAUAGGAACAAAGAACAGGGCAACAAAUAGAAAACA